CUUGGCACAUGAAGAUGUAUGAAGAGAGGGAUAUACUGUGAGCUGUACUAUGACACACUAUAGCUUCCACAACAAGAGAACUGAUUCAGUAUGCAUGGUGCUUGCCCAGGCCCAGGUGUCUGUGAUCGUGAGGCAGCGCCCACUGGAGUGGGUUCACGAGCCCUCUGUAUUGACAUUCCACGUGUGUUUACUGGGACUCAUCAUUCUUCCAGAAGAUGACCUUGCAGUUCAGACAGUGAAGCACAAUUGCAUUGCCACUUGAGUUUCCUGGUUUCCCGAUUUCUUCUGCAUUCCCUCCUUGGGGGAGGUCCCAAUAUGUAAGUAUUCUGUGGAGAGGUGAGUGCCAACAUCUGCCAGGGCUGUGAGAUGCUGGGUGCUUUCUCAGUAGACCAGACCAGCAUAUCAAACAGUCUAUUCUGCUGAGCCAAUGCCUGCUAAAAAUCCCAUUUUC
rnacentral:lncRNA from 1 species